ensembl:Mt_tRNA
AAGAUAUUAGAAAAACUAUUUCAUAACUUUGUCAAGGUUAAAUUACGGGUUAAACCCCGUAUAUCUUA